rnacentral:rRNA from 1 species
GACGAACGCUGGCGGCGUGCUUAACACAUGCAAGUCGAACGGAAAGGCCCUGCUUUUGUGGGGUGCUCGAGUGGCGAACGGGUGAGUAACACGUGAGUAACCUGCCCUUGACUUUGGGAUAACUUCAGGAAACUGGGGCUAAUACCGGAUAGGAGCUCCUGCUGCAUGGUGGGGGUUGGAAAGUUUCGGCGGUUGGGGAUGGACUCGCGGCUUAUCAGCUUGUUGGUGGGGUAGUGGCUUACAAAGGCUUUGACGGGUAGCCGUCCUGAGAGGGUGACCGGCGGCUUGGGAGCAGAGGAACGACCCAGUAACCUACGGUAGGCUGAAGUGGGAAAAAUGGAACAUGGGCCGGAAGCAUAAUGCGGCACCGCGCCGGGCGGGACAACGACGUACGGGUGGAAAACCGUUUGCCACUUUACCGAAGCGUACGGGACGGUAUUUGGUAAAAACGCACGGGGAAACCACGA